GCAGAGAGCAGGGGAAUGGGCCAGGCAAGGGGCACGUGGCAGAGGGAGGGAGGUGGAGGCUGGGCAGGUCUGGAGCGUGGUGGUGCCCUGGGCUGGGGCUUUGGAGGUGCUGAGCCAGGAGAGCCUGCUGGCCCCAUAGUGCUGUGCUCCAGGCCCCUGGGCCGGCCCUCACUUGCCCCACCACGACCGUCUGCCUGGGGCCCAGGCCUGCCCUACUGCCCACAGCGAUUCGCGCUGACGUGUGUCGGCUGCUGCUUUCCCCCAACCCCAUUUCCAUCCCCCACGGGCUCCUGGACGUGCCCAGCUGGGCUCCUCCCGUUAAGGCCGUGCUGAGCCACAUGCCCCAGCCCGGUUCUGCCUGGCUCGGGGGGAGGGCGGGCAGCCCGUCCUGGCCCCGCGGGCUCUGGGGCGCUCCCCGUGGGCGGCAUGCCGGGCCGGCGAUCCCCCCGCCCCGGCUGGAGCCCAGCUGGCUCCCCACCCCCCCAGGCAGGGCCCCGAGUCCCCUUGCUGCUGUUGUCACUUCCCCGAUUGCCUCUGCCACGGCACAUGAGUGCAGCCGCCUGCCCAGGGCUUCAUUGCUGCCAGCCUGGCGGGAGCGGGAUGGGGGCCCUGGGCUGCCUCUGCAUGGCCCGUGCUGGCGUCCGAGCCCAUGGGACAGAGCAGGCUGGGCUGGCCAGGACCCCCGGCAUUCACCUGCACAGCCCCUGGCAUGCUGCCCCCUGGUCUGGCCCUGCACUGCCCGGUCCAACCUGCCUGGCCCCCCCCAGCACGCUGCCCCCUGGCCCUGCCUGGUCCAACCCGCCUCCCCCCAGCAUGCUGCCCCCUGGCCUAGCCCAGCCCUGCCCGGUCCAACCUGCUUCCCCCCCAGCACGCUGCCCCCUGGCCCUGCCUGGUCCAACCCGCCUCCCCCCAGCAUGCUGCCCCCUGGCCUAGCCCAGCCCUGCCCGGUCCAACCUGCUUCCCCCCCAGCACGCUGCCCCCUGGCCCUGCCUGGUCCAACCCGCCUCCCCCCAGCAUGCUGCCCCCUGGCCUAGCCCAGCCCUGCCCGGUCCAACCUGCUUCCCCCCCAGCACGCUGCCCCCUGGCCCUGCCUGGUCCAACCCGCCUCCCCCCAGCAUGCUGCCCCUGGCCUAGCCCAGCCCAGCCCUGCCCGGUCCAACCCGCUUCCCCCCCAGCACGCUGCCCCCUGGCCCUGCCCAACCCUGGCCCUGGCCCUGGCCCUGCAUUGUUGGAUCCAACCCCACCCGCCAUGGGCUAGGGCAGCUCAGCCCCCGUGCAAUGGGUGGGAGGGGCUGGCCCAGCCCUGCCACCUUGGCUCCCCCUGGCUCCUGGCCUGCCCCACUUUCCGUGUCCCGCCCCCCUGCUCUCUAUGGAGGGUGUUUGAAUCAUUUAUAAAUCGUAAUAAAUAUGCAGAUAAGAAGCAGGGUCUGGGAGCCCUCGGGCAGCUGGUGUUAAUUAUUUAAAGUUAUGGUAAUUUGAAGGAGCUGCUCAUUUGCAUAAUCACACUCAUAAUCUCUGCAGCACGGUGCCCUGGUGUAUGCUGGGUAGCAGAGGCCCGGCCCAGCCUCAGCCCCUUCCCUAAGCGUUACCGCUGGAGGGCCUUUGGCUAGGCUGGGAAUGGGCACCCAGAGGCCACCAGCAGCACCCACAGCCUGGCUGGAGACGCUGCUCCUCACUUCCUGCCCCGCCUCCUUGCUGCAGAGCCCCCCAGCUUCUGCCCUGCGCUUGGAAGGGUCACUGAACUGAGAGCCUGGGCCCUCACCCCCCCCAUCUUGCCCCCCUUCAGUGGGGGGAAGUGCUCACCACCACCAGGAGGGGAGUUGGACAUCUGUGAUGAAGAGGGACUGUUCUUAAUGUUUCCUCUGAAUAGUGUGGGGGUGCCUCAGUUUCCCCUAGGCAGUUCUUAAGUAUCUAGGUGGUGGGGUAAGGGUGUAUGAUCAUUGCAGAGCCCUAGAGGGCAGGUGUGUGCAGGAGUCUGGACACAGAGAAUGGCCAACACCCUGUUUCCUGGCAACUGAUGGCCUGGCCCUUCCCCCCUGCAAGGUGAGAGCUAAAGGGUUGGAGAACAAAGGAAUCAGGUGACCACCUGGCCCGGGAAAGGGACAAAGCCCAGAGGAGGAGGGGCUGGAGGGAGUUUCAGUUUGGGGCUGGCUGGGACAUGGAGUGAAGUGCAGACGUGGUUGUCUGGCUCACUGCCCCCCAAAAUGGACCCAGCUGAGGGGUCCCGUUCUCUGCACCUGCAAGCUCUGUUUUAGACCAUGUUCCUGUCGUCUAAUAAACCUUCUGUGUUA